ensembl:lncRNA
CGUGCUUCAAACAGAGUGGUUUAUUUUCUGACAGAGAUCCCUCUCAGGAGAUUGAGCUGGAAAACAGAUUAAUAGAGGCUGUCCAAGUUGCUCUCUGAUAUUGCACAACAUGUGCCUCAGCAGCAUGUGAAUACAAUCUGCUGUGCAUUAGCCCAUUCGGUGCUUUGACGUGGCUCUGCGUGUGUGUGUAUUAUAGCUCACAAUAUACAGUGUACAUACCCCCACCAAGCUGUCAAAAACAGGCAGCAGUUCAUCUGUUUUGUAGAAAUGGUCCAUAUCUUUCUUGUUGGGCUCUGCCGAUGAGAGCGAGUCUGUGACCUGUAGCACAAGGGCCUCCCCUUGUGUUCUGUUGCAAAACUACAAAUCUACUGAUUUGUUAAGUACAAAUUAAAUCAACAAAACACAGCUGUGACUGGGGGAUCCCAAGGCGUUCCAGGGCCAGUGUGGACAUGCUUGUACUCAUGAUCGGUCAUCACCCAUCCCUCAGGACGAGAGGUAAGACUGGCCGGCAACUGUGGGCGAGUGGAAGACGCGGUCGCACCACAAUCAGAGGAUUGGCCGUUUGAUCCCUGGCCCGGCUUUUUCGCCGCCCACGCUGCUCGGACUCUCGGGCCAAACUCGCACUCCCUGAGGUACUUGAACUCCUUCACUUUGGCUGAGGACGUCAACGAUGCCAAACUCCACAAGAUACCAGAACUUAGGACUGAAUCUUCAUGGCUGAUAUACAAAACAAAGGUUUUCCUAAAGCAUCGGGGCAAAGUAUUUUUUUUAAAAAGCACGCUCAUCCCAGUCGUCGUUGGCCCCCCGGGGGCCC